GUUGUGUUAAUUUUCAAAGUUAUCCCUUGUUCUUUAUAACUUUUAAGUUGUGUUAUCAUCCAUGAAAAAUAAAGUGUCAUGAAAACUGUAGCCCCUAAUUUCUCGUCAAACUGUUUUUGACGAAUACUAAAUGCCUUUCCUUCUUCAUUAUGGCAUAAUCAUGAUAAUAGGAUAUGUUCUAGAAUUAAAUCAACAGUGGCUUCCGGGGCAGAAAUAGCCCAUAUAGCCACCUGCAAUGUAUGAAUUUAAACAAUAUUAACUAUAUCAUUUACUUCAGGAUAAACAAGUGAAACUGCAAGCUACUGCUCACUGAUGAUACCCCCGCCGCAAGUGGAUAAUAUUAAUAGUGUAAAAAUAUGCAAGUGUUCGGUAAACAGGAAGUUGUCGAGUGAUGAAUCUGUAAACGCAUCACACGGUAUAGCUGACUUAUAAAAAUCCUGAAACCAAAUUUCAGAAAUCCUUGUAUUGUAGUUCCUGAGAAAAAUG
rnacentral:lncRNA from 1 species